GACGAACGCUGGCGGCGUGCUUAACACAUGCAAGUCGAACGGUGAACCUCUUCGGAGGGGAUCAGUGGCGAACGGGUGAGUAACACGUGGGCAACCUGCUCCCGGCUCUGGGAUAACUCCAAGAAAUUGUGGCUAAUCCCGGGUGUUCACCGCUUCCCGCAUGGGUGGUGGUGGAAAGGGUUUCCGGCUGGGGAUGGGCCCGCGGCCUAUCAGCUUGUUGGUGGGGUAGUGGCCUACCAAGGCGACGACGGGUAGCCGGCCUGAGAGGGUGACCGGCCACACUGGGACUGAGACACGGCCCAGACUCCUACGGGAGGCAGCAGUGGGGAAUAUUGCGCAAUGGGCGGAAGCCUGACGCAGCGACGCCGCGUGGGGGAUGACGGCCUUCGGGUUGUAAACAUCUUUCAGCAGGGACGAAGCGCAAGUGACGGUACCUGCAGAAGAAGCACCGGCCAACUACGUG
rnacentral:rRNA from 1 species